UGUUUUCCCUACCAGCUGAGAGGGAGUUACCCCAGGUCAGCUAGAGGCACCUGAUCCCAAUUAAGGGCCUUUUAAAACCCCUCUGCUGAGUAGAGGAAAGGGGAAGAGAGAAACAAGUUGCUGCCAGGCUAGUGGCAGUAGGGAAAUAAGUUUCUCCAGGGUGAGGGGCUGUGUUCCUACCCAUAGGGGAAACAGCCAAACCUGAGUGCCUGCUAGGUAAGGACUGAGAGCCCAGGGAAAACCAACAGGGCAACACCCUGCACCAGCGAGGAGGUAGCAAAAGGUAUCUUACUGGGGUUUUAGUUUAUGAGACUGUUUCUUUUUUGUUUGGUGAAGGAUCAUCCCUUAGGCUGACUGUCAGGGCUAUCCUGAAAGUAUGGCCAAGGGAACACAGAAGGGGAAAGGCAAACCCUGCACAGAAAGGAGCUGAUUAACCCAGGCUCACCAUCGCCAGAGGGGAAAGCACUAAGGUCUGGUGAGACAAAGGAGGUGACUUGCCACAAUAUGUCAAAAGAAUUGGGUGACAAUUCAAUAAAACUUUCAAAGAACAGACCUGAGCAGAGAACUCCAGCAUCUUCACCAUGCCCACAGUUAUGCCGACCCCAUCCACCAGAGGAACAGUCAUGAAGACAGGAUUCGCUUCCAGAGCAACCCACAUCAUCCAGCCAGAUCUGCCCUGAUCCUUCCCCAUAAUGAGCUGAGCCAGUUGCAUUGAGGGCGUGUCCACAUCCCAACUCUUGGCAAACGACAUUGGCAUCUGAUGUGUCCCAGGAAUCAUCACAGACUGUCCCCCAGGCUCCACUCUAAUCAGCUUCAAUAGAGAAUGAACAGACCUGAGCAGAGAACUCCAGCAUCUUCACCGUGCCCACAGUUAUGCUGACCCCAUCCUCUGGAGGAACAGUCCCGAAGAAAGGAUUCACUUCCAGAGCAAUUCACAUCAUCUAGCCAGAUCUGCCCUGAUCCUUCCCCAUAAUGAGCUGAGCCAGGUGCAUUGAUGGCUAGUCCACAUCUCAAUUCUUUGCAAACAACAUUGGCAUCUGAUGUGUCCCAGGAAUCAUCACAGACUGUGCCCCAGGUGUCAUUGUAAUAUAUCUCCACUCUCCCAGAGCAUGGAUCUAUUCCAUUCACCAGUCUGAUCUGUUUGCUUCCUACAGAAAGGAAUUUCAGAUGUUAAUGUCAUUCCUAUUGAAGAAGAAGAUGUUUGUAAGAUUUCAGGAAACACCUGGGCAAAUGAACAUGACAUUCUCAGCAAUUUACAACAGUGAAUAUCUUCUGUGGAGCUAUUGCGGUGGCUGGUGGGUUUCGUCUCCUACAUUCCUUCAUUUCAGAACUGCAUAGGCCCAUUCCACAUUCAAUCUUAGCAAUGAUUAGAAGCAGGGUUGUAUAUUUUUUUCAGAAUUCAUGACAUUUAGUUUUUUUUCACUCUCACCAGCUGGCUAUUGAGCAAAAGUCCUCUACAUAUGUUACACUUUUGUCCUUUUAUUGACCUAAAAUGGGGUCAAAGCCCAUUGAACUCAAUGGAAGGAAUCACACUGAUAUCAACAGGUUCCACAUAAUGAAUAUUUUUGAGUAUGUUUUUAAAAUUGUGUUUAGUUGCUAGUUAAAGAUUAUUAAAUGGUUCAAAUCAAUUUUGCAUGAAAACAGAUUUCACUUUUCAUGAUUCCUAAUUUUUAAAAAACAAUUAAAAUUCUAUUCUGAUUCUGAAGUUCUGAUUUUAUUUUUUAACUAAAAUUAUGACAAGAAAUUUUUGUCAUAACAAAGUCAGUUAUAAGCUUUCUCUCUAUCUCUACGCUAUAGAUACCUGCACACUGUACUGGCAUGACUAGUGUCAUGCAGAUUAUUAUCCAGAAUUCUACUUCACAUCAUGCAAGAAAAUCUCCAUGCUCCAAGAACACUGAUUUUCUACAUUCAGCACUCUAUGCAAAUCAGAAUGAUCUUUGCUCUGUAGUCAUGGGAAAUUCAGUGAAUAACAUUAAUAGCUAUAUGUAUUACCUACAAGCACUUGUUAAACAAACAAACAUUGGUAGGUUACAGAGUCAAACACCUGAAAGUUGGGAAAUGCCUGGUUUAUGGUUGCCUGUUCCACCUUAUUUUUCUCCCUUAUGCAUCCAGUAUGUGCACCGAAUGAGGCAGGGGUCUUGUGGAAAUUAAAGACAGUUGUAUAAUGCAUACAUCCAAGUGGAUUGCACAAGGCAGGGUCAACUUUCUCUCGCCAAUACUGGUAGUUGGGGGAGCUCCCCUCCUGCCUAUGUGUUGCCCCAGAGUGGGGAAGGAUGGCAUAUUGGGAACCAUGUGUUGGGCUGAAAGGAGUAGGAAAAAGGGCUGGGUGGACAGGGGGGAGUGAGCUGAGCUCUUUCCACCCCCUCCUGCUACAGCUGCUCUGCUAGGUCAAAAUACAGUAGCUGCUGCUGCUGCUUUGGCAGUGGCCUGAGCCCAACCUUGGAAUCUUCAAGGCUGACAUUUUUCUGAAGAACCCAAGGGAAAGAAGGGAAAUGGUGACUUGCAACACUCGCCAGCUCAGCUAAAUCAGAACAAAAUUUCACAGGACAAAGACAAGACACUUUGCUACACUGAGGGAGUUUCCCCUACUAAAUAUCCAAGCCUGCUGCAAACAAUGAAGGUGUCAGAGCUUCUAAAAAAAAAUUUGAAAAAUGAUUGCAAGAAUGCAUUAUAGUGGGAAACGUGCAGCCGCCUACAUCUAAGGGUUGCUACAAUUUUACCGUUUUGUUAGAAACUCCCAUUGCAUCUAGGAUAUUAAUGAUGCUGAUAAGGAUGAGAAUAAUUAUACUUUAGUUCCCGUAGAGAUCCCCCAUCACUUCAUGCCACUGCAGGGAGUUAAAAUGAAUAUUUAACAGAUGAAGUCCUGGCCCCAUUCCGUUUGUUGGCAAACCUCCCAUUCAUUUCAGGGGGGUGAGGAUUUCACUCUAAAUCUCAGGGAGUACAGAAUCAUGCCUAAAGCUUCAUUAGAAAUGAGAUUUUUAUCAGUCCAACACCUUGAAGCUAAAUUGAGUAUUCUGAGUCUCUUACAUGCAGCUACAGUGCCAAGAAGAUAACCCGGCUGUAGAGUAGGACAGACAGGAUUUAAAAGCUUUUGAGAAAUGGAAUGGAGAAAAAUGUCAGCCAGCCCGGGAAAUAAAACAACAGAACAAUAAAAUAUUGAUCAAAGUCCUGUAAAAGGAUAAUUUGUUAAUAUCUAAAAAGAAAGAGAUCUUAGAAAACUUCAGUAAAAAUUGACUGUUGGGUAAUGAGCAUUCCUUCUAAAUCUGCAGGGGAGGAAUUAGAAUAAUUCACUGGUGAGUGUGUUACAUUAUGUGCCUGAUCCACAGAGGAUAUGAGUCUGUUAUAGCCUAAGCUCGAGAGCUUUAGUUCAAGCUCUAGCAACUUCUGUGUUUAGUUCUGGAGGUCUGUAAUUCAAUUUUCAGUGUGCUGGCCAAGAGGGAAGUUGUCAUAGGUUAUAUUACCUGAUAAUAUUACUAUAUUAAUGCAUUCUUUAGAAGAUUUCAAUUCUUCCCUCCAGAUAAUGAGCAUUUUUACAAUACUAGAAGUGGUUAAUACCUAACGUCUCUGUCCAAUUUACUUCUUUCCCCCAUACUGCUGUUGCAAUUUAUAUUUGUAUUUCAUCAGGAACAUGUGAUGAUACUUGUUAGUCUAAUUAAAUAUAGGUUGAUGUGACAAUAUGGCUAAAUAUAAGUACAUAUGGUUGAAAAGGCAUUUUUGUAUGGAAAAACUCUCACAUAUGAGUUUUUAAAAUAUCACUAAAAGAGCAGCUAAAAGUGGAGAGAUGUAAUUUACUUGUAUUUUUCAAAAUCUUUGAAUAAAAUCUCAAAAAAUUAUUAAGGAAAAUAACCACACAGUAAGAGAAAAAGUUGUGUAAUAGUAC